UACGUAGGGGGCGAGCGUUGUCCGGAUUCAUUGGGCGUAAAGAGCUCGUAGGCGGUUCAGUAAGUCGGGUGUGAAAUCUCCGUGCUCAACACGGAGCGGCCACCUGAUACCGCUGUGACUCGAGUCCGGUAGGGGAGUGUGGAAUUCCCGGUGUAGCGGUGAAAUGCGUAGAUAUCAAGAGGAACACCUGAGGUGAAGACGGGUUGCUGGGCCGACACUGACGCUGAGUGCGCGAAAGCCAGGGGAGCAAACGGG
rnacentral:rRNA from 1 species